rnacentral:rRNA from 1 species
GACGAACGCUGGCGGCGUGCUUAACACAUGCAAGUCGAACGGAAAGGCCCUGCUUUUGUGGGGUGCUCGAGUGGCGAACGGGUGAGUAACACGUGAGUAACCUGCCCUUGACUUUGGGAUAACUUCAGGAAACUGGGGCUAAUACCGGAUAGGAGCUCCUGCUGCAUGGUGGGGGUUGGAAAGUUUCGGCGGUUGGGGAUGGACUCGCGGCUUAUCAGCUUGUUGGUGGGGUAGUUGCUUACCAAGGCUUUGACGGGUAGCCGGCCUGAGAGGGUGACCGGCGACAUUGGGACUGAGAUACGGCCCAGACUCGUACGGGAGGCAGCAGUGGGGAAUAUUGCACAAUGGGCGGAAGCAUGAUGCAGCAACGCGGCGUGCGGGAUGACGGCCUUCGGGUUGUAAACCGCUUUCGCCUGUGACGAAGCGUGAGUGACGGUAAUGGGUAAAGAAGCACCGGCUAACUACGUG